rnacentral:rRNA from 1 species
CCUACGGGUGGCAGCAGUGAGGAAUAUUGGUCAAUGGGCGAGAGCCUGAACCAGCCAAGUCGCGUGAAGGAUGACGGCCCUACGGGUUGUAAACUUCUUUUGUCAGGGAGCAAUUGGGUCCACGCGUGGGCUUAGCGAGAGUACCUGAAGAAAAAGCAUCGGCUAACUCCGUGCCAGCAGCCGCGGUAAUACGGAGGAUGCGAGCGUUAUCCGGAUUUAUUGGGUUUAAAGGGUGUGCAGGCGGAUUUUUAAGUCAGCGGUCAAAUCGUGGGGCUCAACCCCAUCCAGCCGUUGAAACUGGGGAUCUAGAGUGUGCGAGAGGUAUGCGGAAUGCGUGGUGUAGCGGUGAAAUGCAUAGAUAUCACGCAGAACCCCGAUUGCGAAGGCAGCAUACCGGUGCACAACUGACGCUCAGGCACGAAAGCGUGGGUAUCGAACAGGAUUAGAUACCCCAGUAGUC